rnacentral:rRNA from 1 species
GUGGCGAACGGGUGAGUAACACGUGAGCAACCUGCCCCUGACUCUGGGAUAAGCGCUGGAAACGGCGUCUAAUACUGGAUAUGUGACGUGACCGCAUGGUCUGCGUCUGGAAAGAAUUUCGGUUGGGGAUGGGCUCGCGGCCUAUCAGCUUGUUGGUGAGGUAAUGGCUCACCAAGGCGUCGACGGGUAGCCGGCCUGAGAGGGUGACCGGCCACACUGGGACUGAGACACGGCCCAGACUCCUACGGGAGGCAGCAGUGGGGAAUAUUGCACAAUGGGCGCAAGCCUGAUGCAGCAACGCCGCGUGAGGGACGACGGCCUUCGGGUUGUAAACCUCUUUUAGCAGGGAAGAAGCGAAAGUGACGGUACCUGCAGAAAAAGCGCCGGCUAACUACGUGCCAGCAGCCGCGGUAAUACGUAGGGCGCAAGCGUUAUCCGGAAUUAUUGGGCGUAAAGAGCUCGUAGGCGGUUUGUCGCGUCUGCUGUGAAAUCCGGAGGCUCAACCUCCGGCCUGCAGUGGGUACGGGCAGACUAGAGUGCGGUAGGGGAGAUUGGAAUUCCUGGUGUAGCGGUGGAAUGCGCAGAUAUCAGGAGGAACACCGAUGGCGAAGGCAGAUCUCUGGGCCGUAACUGACGCUGAGGAGCGAAAGGGUGGGGAGCAAACAGGCUUAGAUACCCUGGUAGUCCACCCCGUAAACGUUGGGAACUAGUUGUGGGGUCCAUUCCACGGAUUCCGUGACGCAGCUAACGCAUUAAGUUCCCCGCCUGGGGAGUACGGCCGCAAGGCUAAAACUCAAAGGAAUUGACGGGGACCCGCACAAGCGGCGGAGCAUGCGGAUUAAUUCGAUGCAACGCGAAGAACCUUACCAAGGCUUGACAUAUACGAGAACGGGCCAGAAAUGGUCAACUCUUUGGACACUCGUAAACAGGUGGUGCAUGGUUGUCGUCAGCUCGUGUCGUGAGAUGUUGGGUUAAGUCCCGCAACGAGCGCAACCCUCGUUCUAUGUUGCCAGCACGUAAUGGUGGGAACUCAUGGGAUACUGCCGGGGUCAACUCGGAGGAAGGUGGGGAUGACGUCAAAUCAUCAUGCCCCUUAUGUCUUGGGCUUCACGCAUGCUACAAUGGCCGGUACAAAGGGCUGCAAUACCGCGAGGUGGAGCGAAUCCCAAAAAGCCGGUCCCAGUUCGGAUUGAGGUCUGCAACUCGACCUCAUGAAGUCGGAGUCGCUAGUAAUCGCAGAUCAGCAACGAUGCGGUGAAUACGUUCCCGGGUCUUGUACACACCGCCCGUCUUUUCAUGAAA